UCUGCAUGUACUCAUCUCAUCCAUUACUCUAAUAUUUUAUUAUUUAUUACAUUCAGAGGAAAGUCAAAACGUAAAUGAUUGAUGCUGACAACCUAACAGAGUUGGUUUCUCUUCCUUCUACCAGGUUGUGAAAGCUGCGGGAGGAAGUUGUGAACAGAACUGACAAUAAGAACUGGAUGUCUCGAAUCUAGAUGCAAUUAAGCCAAGGAAGAGUAGUAUCAAGGGAUUUAAUUUGGGACUA
rnacentral:lncRNA from 1 species